AAAAGGGACCCUAAAAAGCAAUUAGUGAUGCUGCUUGUAAAUGAAGAGGCAGCUCGCUUAGGGUGGGGAGCUGAGAGCUGGAGGCAGCCCCCUCAAAGGCAGUGGAGAACCGGGACAGUGACUGGCAUCCAGGGUCUGUGCCUCUGGCCCCUUGGUCACUGAUGACCACGAAGGAAUCCCCAAGCUUCUGAGUGAGGGGAGACUGCCUUCUCCUUGCAGCUGAAAACAAAUGCUCGCGUGCUGGAAGAUGCAACACAUGGAGCAGAACCAAGUUGAUGUCAUCAUGGCAGAAGCCAUGCUAAAGCAGUCAACAACCAGCCAAUUCCCAUUUAUGGGAGCACAUCCAACCAAGAUCUGCAGCACCACCUAGCCAACUGGUAGACUUAUGAGCAAUAAUAAGUAGUUUUUAAUCCAUCAAGUUCUGAAAUGAGUUACUCAGCAUUAUUGAGGCAAUGGAUAACCUACACAUGUAUAACAGCAUCCAAGAAGUCCUGCAAUGAAGAAACAUGUUCUAGUUGGUAUAAACUAGGGUUUCCCAAGUGUGUUUUUAUGGUAUAACUAAUAACACUUUGCAAAACAAUGCUGCACAACUCCAGAUUGGGACAUUCUUCCAGACUUAUCCAGGAACAGCAUGAAAGAAGUAUAAAUAGUUUGUUUUAAUCCUAAAUUAUUGGUAACUGUCUCUGGUGUUUGUGGUGAAUUGGUCCUUAGCAACCAUUUCAACUCCAUGCUACACACCUCCUGAUGCUACAGAGGUUGGAAAAUUAAACAUUACAUUUCUCAGACUCCCUUGAAGCUCUUUUUUGGAUGAAAAUUAACCUUCAUCCGUUAGAGGCACUCUCAUAAGAUUUCGAAUGUAAAAGGGAGGCAGCACUAUUGUUCUGUUCUGGCCUUUGCUGUUGACAAGCAAACCUUUUUUUUUUUUCCUCGUGAAACAACAUUCCAAUAUCUAGUUUAACUUCUGGAUAUUAAGUGAUGGUGGCAGGGGUGGCCUCUUGCUUUAUCACAACCCCAUUGUAUGUUCUCGAAUCAACAAUUCCAAAAGAUGUGGCAAAGGUGCCACUUCCUUGGCACCAGUUUUCUGGGAGUCAGCCCUGGAAGCCCAGCCUAAAACUCUCUUCUUCAACUCUCACAACAGCUUACUAAGUAACCAGAUCUCUUUCUGCUUAAAAUAACUAGAGAGGGUUCUGUUUCCUGUACUGAUUGAUGACUGAUCCUAUAUCUAACUGUCUGAGACUAAAUUCCCUAAUCUGUAAAAAUUAGAGUUAAUAAUAUCCUCCUUGUGAGCUCAUGAAAUAAUGAUUAGCUCUGUACCUUGCAUAUUGUAGAUGCUCAUAAAAGGUAUUCAUCUAAUAGGACAUUAUCUCUUUAAGAAAUACUAAUUUGAUUUUUCACAUUUUAGCAGGAGAAGGAGCCAGUAACAAAUUGUUAUAUACAUUUGUAUGGUGAAAACAAUCAUUAUUUAUGCAUACUUGGGUCUUUUCAGCUCAAAAAAUUAAAGUUCUUUGUCUGCCCCCAAUUCCAUCUUUCUCUAUUUUCUCCCUCACACCCCAGGAACCUAAAAGGGUUUACUACUUUGCUGCUUCAAUUGCUUCACCUCCCACUCAUCUCAAUCUCUGUCAAUCCAGAUUGUAUCUGGUUAAUUCCACAGAAACUCUAAUUAAAAUCAACUGUCCAAGUCAUUUAGGAAUACGUCACCUCUCAAUGUAUUUGGUACCUAAGUUUCAACUGGCAGAAUUAAACACUCUCUCCCUUUAGACACAUUUUUUCUUUACUUAGCACAACCAAUAAUCUGUUUCCUUUUCUUUUGGUCAUAUAGUGAGACUACAUUUCCCAGUCUCUCUUGCAGUUAAGUGAGUCCUAGUGACUAAAUUUUAAUCAAUGGAAUGUAAGUGGAAGUGGUGUGUGCCAUUUUUGAGCCAAAGCUUUUAAGAAGUGGGUAGGUCCUUCUAUGCUCUCUUUUUUUCUAUUCUAUUGACUUAAUAAAGAUAAUGGCAAAGCUUUAAGGGAGAGUGGAUCUGUGAGAUUAAAAUAAUCUAUAGAACCUGGGUCCCUGAAUGACCACGUGGCAGAGAGUAACCCAAGAAUUAAGGAUACUGACCCCAGACUGGUAUAUAAAUGAGAAACCUCUACAGUGUUUGAGUCAUCUUUCAGUUUUGGAUGUAUUUGUCACAAGAGUGUAGCUUAUUCUACUACUAAUUGAAGUAGUAUAAUAUUAGUGAUGUCAUGUUAUAAUUAAAAUCUAAAAUACGUGGCAAUUGCUUAGUAUUUGGUUGUCAGAUGGUGAGAAAACAGAGCUGCCGGGGACCAGAGAUCCCUGGUUCUAAAAGAAAACAUUCGAUAAAACAGUUGCUGCAGCAAUUGGAAGGCAGAAGAAAUAUCUUUGGAGUUUGUAUUUCAACGUGAAGAAUUUGGAAAAGCCAGAUGUUAGUGUGUGUUGAUUAAUUCUUGGUAUAGUCCAAGGAUUCUAGGAAAGAGGUACUCUCAGGCAAAAAUUACCAAAAAAGUGUGUGUGGAGGGAACAGAGAAAAGAGAAAGGGUCCAAAAACAGGGAACCUCAUAGAAAAGAGUUAUUUACUUCUGGACCCUAAAUAGCAGGAAAUAACAGAAAGAUGUUAAGUAACAAAAGACCCCAGAGAUUUCUCAGUUAACUAGAAGGACCCGGGUUUGUAGCAGAAUUCAGAUUGUGUUGCCUUCCUAGCCAUGGCUAUGGCUUGAGAUAACCUCCAGUGAGGCAACAUUAAGUUGAGAGGAAGAAAGAGGUAGGAGGUGAGAAAAUGAAUAAAUGAAGCAGGCUGUAAGAGCAUGUUUAGGUAAGAAUUUUAAAUUUAGUCAUUGGUCCUUGGAACUGGCUAAAAGCAAAUAGAUUCUAAAACAUUUAUCUAGGAUCAAAUCAAGGAGCUUCCUCCACUACCAGGUCAAGGGUUUUGUCAUUGCUGAAGACUCAAGGCUGCUAGUUUACCAUUCUUCUCUGAAUUGAAGAGAGGACAUUUGUUGCAGGUAGCCUGUCCUUGUUUCACUGUUACAUACUGAGUGUAUUGUAGCUGUGUGCCAGGGUCGGGAGGGAGAUAUAUGGGGUCGGAUAACUAGUUUUUAUUUUAACUUGCUGGAUCACAAGGCGCUACAUCUGGACCUGAUGAAGAGGAUUGCGUAUGACCCAGGAAUUGGGACUUUGAGCUGGACAUGGCAGACAGAUGGGCCUUUGGGUUGUUGCCCUGGGGAGGGGCACAAUGUGUGUUUUAAUGUGUUGGGUAAAGUUGUUAAAUUUACUUGCCAGCAUCUUUUCUUGUUUUCACUGAAGGAAUAAAUACCUCCUGCUGAUGUAGUGAUUAAUCACUUGGUUCCAUAUUCUCCACUGCAGAGGUGCAUUCAUGACCCAGGCUGGCUCAUCAGAAUAUGUCAUCACCCUAGACAUAAUGACUGAUUCAUAGUCAAGCACCUGUC